UUGAUCCUGCCGGAGGCCAUUGCUAUCGGGGUCCGACUUAGCCAUGCUAGUUGCACGGGUUCAGGCCCGUGGCAAACAGCUCAGUAACACGUGGCCAAACUACCCUAUGGACGUGGACACCCUCGGGAAACUGAGGCUAAUCCACGAUACGGCUCCCACGCUGGAAUGCGGGGAGCCGGAAAGGCUCCGGCGCCUUAGGAUGUGGCUGCGGCCGAUUAGGUAGACGGUGGGGUAACGGCCCACCGUGCCGAUAAUCGGUACGGGAUGUGAGAGCAAAUAGCCCGGAGAUGGAAUCUGAGACAAGAUUCCAGGCCCUACGGGGCGCAGCAGGCGCGAAACCUUUACACUGCACGCCAGUGCGAUAAGGGGACCCCGAGUGCGAGGGCAUACAGUCCUCGCUUUUGUACACCGUAAGGAGGUGUACGAAUAAGGGCUGGGCAAGACCGGUGCCAGCCGCCGCGGUAAUACCGGCAGCCCGAGUGAUGGCCGCUGUUAUUGGGCCUAAAGCGUCCGUAGCCGGCCGAACAAGUCUGUCGGGAAAUCCAUCCGCCUAACGGAUGGGCGUCCGGCAGAAACUGUUCGGCUUGGGGCCGGAAGAUCCGAGGGGUACGUCCGGGGUAGGAGUGAAAUCCUGUAAUCCUGGACGGACCGCCGGUGGCGAAAGCGCCUCGGAAGGACGGACCCGACGGUGAGGGACGAAAGCUGGGGUCUCGAACCGGAUUAGAUACC
rnacentral:rRNA from 1 species